UUUUGCUGUUGUUAAAAAAAUACCCUAACCCCAAUUCCCCCUCCCCUCACUUGCGUCUCUCAAUGUCUCACUCACACACUCACUAAUACACUCAGAAAGGGGUCUUCUUCUCGCAGCCACCAGCCACAUCGUCGCCACCGGCCACCGCCACCGCACUGCUCCCUAAGUCGUCGUUGAGUGCACGGCAUCGUCGCUUCCGUAUGUAGCUCGUUGCACUACAUCGUCGCGUGUUGGUGCUUCCCGUGCGUUUGUCGUCGUCGUUGUUGCUUCCUCAGCCGGCAUUGCUCGCGGUCGUUGUUGCCUUGCCAUUUGCGUCGUCACCGUGGUUGGUUUAUCUCUUCUCUUUGUCUACGUUGUCUGCAUUCUUAGGUUUGUGACAAAUUUUGAUGAGAGUUCAUUUCACUUUAUUGAUUGCAUAUAUAAUCACGUCAACACUAAAGUAAAGAUUUUCAGGCAGAAAGAAUCACAACUGCAAAUCCUUCAUCAGGCUCAUCUUUGAUCACUCCUGUUAGAAAUGCAUCGCGGUUCACAGAAAUCGUCAUCUAAUCCAGUAUGACAUUGACACUUCAGUUGCUAUAGUAAUGAUGAAGUAGGAUAAGUUGAUAUGACAAAUUUGAAGCAAAUAGGAUGAUGAAGCAUAUCUAGUCUAGCAGGACAAGUUUAUCUAAAUGUAAUAUUUUGAUAUUUUUUAUAUUUUUUUUAAGAAAUUUUAUUUAGUAUUACAUGUAAUGGAUAAAUUAUACCCUAUUUUGAUUUGUGUUAU